CUACAAUUCCCAGCUCGAGCGUGAGCUCGCGGCGGAAGCAGCUUCGGCACGCUCAAGACUUUGCACUACGCAGGUGUGGCGCAGUGGAGGCAGCAAUCCAAGGAGAGAUGCCCAGACCUCCCUCUUCCUAGCCACUGCAUUCAGCUCUUCCAGGGGGCUACUGAGGCAUUUCCAAGCCAGCCAAGUUACAUAAUCUCUCCAGCGUGUUCUACGUUUGCCCUACAUUGAACAUGCACAAAACAACUCACAUAGGAGACGUCCAAGAGGCUUUCUUGUCAGAUGCCCAAACAACCUCAACUGGCUCCUUUCCAUGUGGAAGAGUGACUAAACUUAUCACCCAGACAUUAUUCACAGGAAGCUGCUUGACUAUGUGAUCUUAUUCUUUUGUCAUUACCCACAGUUUAUGGCUAUAGAUGAGGGUAAAAAUGUAGAUUGAUCAUCACUCUCCUGACGAUGACAGAGUGGAAUAGCAUCUGCAAAUUCAGCAUCGAUCCAGCUGCCAAUCUCUCAUUAAACUUCCCAUUAAACUCAUCAACAGUUUUCUGACAUAUCUGAAAGCCUCCACUUGGGGCAGUAACCUCUCCCCAGCAUGGAGUUGGCAAUCCAAACCUUUCCAGCCAAGAACCAGGCUUCAGACUCAUAGGUGCUUAUUGUCACCUCAACACAAAUAAUAAUGUAAUUCUUUGAUUACUGACUGUUAGAUGGCUCAAACAGUGACUAUACUAUACCAAUGACCAAUUAUCACUGCAAGAAUAUUUGAAAAUGGCUGGAGAGGUUAAAGUCAAAUACUGGCUGCACAAUAACCUGUAUAGCUACAGAGGCCAAGGCAGAACAUGGAAACAACAGUAACCUUAUCAGCAGAAAAUCUGUUUAUAAGGAUUCUGCCCAAAGUUAGCCUUACUGUUUCAAUUUUAG